rnacentral:rRNA from 1 species
AGACCCGAAACCCGGUGAUCUAGCCAUGGGCAGGUUGAAGGUUGGGUAACACUAACUGGAGGACCGAACCGACUAAUGUUGAAAAAUUAGCGGAUGACCUGUGGCUGGGGGUGAAAGGCCAAUCAAACCGGGAGAUAGCUGGUUCUCCCCGAAAGCUAUUUAGGUAGCGCCUCGUGAAUUCAUCUCCGGGGGUAGAGCACUGUUUCGGCUAGGGGGCCAUCCCGGCUUACCAACCCGAUGCAAACUGCGAAUACCGGAGAAUGUUAUCACGGGAGACACACGGCGGGUGCUAACGUCCGUCGUGAAGAGGGAAACAACCCAGACCGCCAGCUAAGGUCCCAAAGUCAUGGUUAAGUGGGAAACGAUGUGGGAAGGCCCAGACAGCCAGGAUGUUGGCUUAGAAGCAGCCAUCAUUUAAAGAAAGCGUAAUAGCUCACUGGUCGAGUCGGCCUGCGCGGAAGAUGUAACGGGGCUAAACCAUGCACCGAAGCUGCGGCAGCGAACGUAUCACUUAAAGCGAUUCAGCGGGUUACGAUUGACGGAGCGAAGCGACGUCAAAGCGUAUACAAAGUCGAGUCGGUUUAAGGAUACGUUCGUUGGGUAGGGGAGCGUUCUGUAAGCCUGCGAAGGUGGCCUGUGAGGGUUGCUGGAGGUAUCAGAAGUGCGAAUGCUGACAUAAGUAACGAUAAAGCGGGUGAAAAGCCCGCUCGCCGGAAGACCAAGGGUUCCUGUCCAACGUUAAUCGGGGCAGGGUGAGUCGACCCCUAAGGCGAGGCCGAAAGGCGUAGUCGAUGGGAAACGGGUUAAUAUUCCCGUACUUGGUGUUACUGCGAAGGGGGGACGGAGAAGGCUAUGUUGGCCGGGCGACGGUUGUCCCGGUUUAAGCGUGUAGGUGUGUGUUCCAGGUAAAUCCGGUUCACUUUAACACUGAGGCGUGACGACGAGGCACUACGGUGCUGAAGCAACAAAUGCCCUGCUUCCAGGAAAAGCCUCUAAGCAUCAGGUAACAUCAAAUCGUACCCCAAACCGACACAGGUGGUCAGGUAGAGAAUACCAAGGCGCUUGAGAGAACUCGGGUGAAGGAACUAGGCAAAAUGGUGCCGUAACUUCGGGAGAAGGCACGCUGACACGUAGGUGAAGUGAUUUACUCACGGAGCUGAAGUCAGUCGAAGAUACCAGCUGGCUGCAACUGUUUAUUAAAAACACAGCACUGUGCAAACACGAAAGUGGACGUAUACGGUGUGACGCCUGCCCGGUGCCGGAAGGUUAAUUGAUGGGGUCAGCGCAAGCGAAGCUCCUGAUCGAAGCCCCGGUAAACGGCGGCCGUAACUAUAACGGUCCUAAGGUAGCGAAAUUCCUUGUCGGGUAAGUUC